AUUGAACGCUGGCGGCAGGCCUAACACAUGCAAGUCGCGCGAGCGGCGGACGGGUGAGUAAUGUCUGGGAAACUGCCUGAUGGAGGGGGAUAACUACUGGAACCGGUAGCUAAUACCGCAUACCAUCAGAUGUGCCCAGAUGGGAUUAGCUAGUAGGGGGGGUAACGGCUCACCUAGGCGACGAUCCCUAGCUGGUCUGAGAGGAUGACCAGCCACACGUAAAAUGAGACCCGGUCCAGACUCCUACGGGAGGCAGCAGUGGGGAAUAUUGAACAAUGGGCGCAAGCCUGAUGCAGCCAUGCCGCGUGUGUGAAGAAGGCCUUCGGGUUGUAAAGCACAUUCAGCGGGGAGGCGUUGCCCUCAGAAGGAAGGCCGGCUAACUCCGUGCCAGCAGCCGCGGUAAUUC
rnacentral:rRNA from 1 species